GGAGGCCUUUAGGGCUGGUCAGAGUGGGGCGGCUGAGUCCUAGGGCUGCGGGGGUCCUUCCUGUUCAUUUGCACCACCUCGAGGUAAUCGGCUAAAUGCUCUCUGACCCUAAAAUCUUUGAAGAUACAUGUGGGGAAUAUUGGCCAAGAAUGGGGAGGAAUCAACCCAAAUUGUUCCUGAUGACGGCCCAGUAUUGAGACAGUGUUUUAUAUGAUUCCAAACAGAGGACGCUUUUCCCCGUGAACUGUCCAUUCUCUGGGGAAAGUUCCAAGUGAUUGGCCGAAGCUCCGUGUGACAUGCUCAGGCGAUAGACCGACUGUCCUGGCUGAUUGUACGUCAGUCUAUAGGACUCACGAGCGGGUCUUCUCCCGACAGCGGAUCAUCGAGAUCAAGAAAACAUCACAACCGUGUUUGCAAGUCAGGCCCCACAGCAUGUCUCUGGUCCAGGAAUACUUGCCACCUCUUCCCCUUCUCAACAGCUCCAUUUAACAUUUCUGCUCCUCACGCUAAUGCUUCAUGCACUUUGUUUGUAAACUAGAAAUCCAAAUGAAUUAAGGAGAAGGGGACGAUGGAGAACGUGGCCAGAUCAUUUCGAUUCUGGCCACAGAGUUGCUGCAGAGGCGUGAACUUGCUGCACGGAUGUUCCUCCGGGAGGCCUGUAGCUGCCCCUACAGAGGCCAAUUUGGGAUGAUUUCCUUCGAUACUCGAGUCACAGAGCAUUCACUACCUGAAAUAAGAAGUACAGGAUUUAAGAUCAUAAACUUUUCCUGAACAUACUUGCAUCUCAGCCCAUCAUGUGGUUCUUAGGAGAUUCCCUGAGGCCCUCCUUGAGCUGUGGGGCCCAUCGCCACUGGGUGAGCUGCCAGAAGACCAUCCUUUGCUUCUCUGGGUCCACAAAGCCAGCUCUGGACCAGAGACUAGACCGUCUCAAACCCAGGCAGAAGGCCAGGCGGGGCGUCGAUGAUGCCCAGGUGGCGUGGCUUCUGGAGAUGGAGAAGAGGCAUCGGGCGGGCCCCUGAGACCCCAACAAGGCUCUUGGCUGACAUCAGGCUGUGCAGCUACAUCCUUGAGGUAAUUGGCUCUGCCACACAUCACUCUCUGCGGAGACGUCAAGCCACCUGGCACCGGGCUGGGGUCCCACCAUUCGAGAACAGAAGCACGAGGGUCCUGUGGGUGUGGACCUGGUGGCCUGUUUGCUAUUCACGGGGGGCCGGCUGGAAGGGAGGUGCGGGGCUGAGCAAGUGCAGGCUCGGACCGGGGUCGCCGUCCCUACCAGGCCGUCAGAGGGGUCGGAGGGGUCGGAGGUCCAGAGUCCUGCUCCGUGGAGGCCCCCUGUUCCCGGGGUGUGGCUCAGCAGGCAGCUUCUUGCUGCAGGCCGGUUCCCACCACUUGACUCAGUUUCACUGUUGAAAUAUUGAAAUCAGCUUCUUUAAAAAAAUAUAUAUUUUAUUUAUUUAUUCCUGAGACACACAGAGAGAGGCAGAGACACACAGGCAGAGGGAGAAGCAGGCUCCCUGCAGGGACCCCUGAUGCGGGACUUGAUCCCGGGACUCCAGAGUCAUGCCCUGAGCCAAAGGCAGAUGCUUAACGGCUGAGCCCCCCAGGUGUACCUGAAAGCAGCUUCUUAAAUGGAUUCCUGGAAUCUGGAGACCGGCUUUCAGAAGCAGUGAAAAUGUGCACAGGAUGAAAGCAGAGAACCAGGUCUGCUUGAGAAAAGUAAUUGAGAGGAUCAGAGCUGCUACAUCCUCUGGUGCCCAGACGCACUGCUGGAGAUUAGGUGGGGAGGUGGGUGGCCCAGCUUCCAGCCGGCUGGCUGCGCUCGCACUGAGCGGCCGUCCCUCUGGACACGUCAGUGACAGCAGCAUCCACGCCUGUGAGGCUCCCGCUGGUGCCCCGGCCCCUGAUGUCCAACGGUGGUGAAUUCAAACUGGG